GGCUCAGGAUGAACGCUGGCGGCGUGCUUAACACAUGCAAGUCGAACGGUGAACACGGAGCUUGCUCUGUGGGAUCAGUGGCGAACGGGUGAGUAACACGUGAGCAACCUGCCCCUGACUCUGGGAUAAGCGCUGGAAACGGCGUCUAAUACUGGAUAUGUGACGUGACCGCAUGGUCUGCGUCUGGAAAGAAUUUCGGUUGGGGAUGGGCUCGCGGCCUAUCAGCUUGUUGGUGAGGUAAUGGCUCACCAAGGCGUCGACGGGUAGCCGGCCUGAGAGGGUGACCGGCCACACUGGGACUGAGACACGGCCCAGACUCCUACGGGAGGCAGCAGUGGGGAAUAUUGCACAAUGGGCGCAAGCCUGAUGCAGCAACGCCGCGUGAGGGAUGACGGCCUUCGGGUUGUAAACCUCUUUUAGCAGGGAAGAAGCGAAAGUGACGGUACCUGCAGAAAAAGCGCCGGCUAACUACGUGCCAGCAGCCGCGGUAAUACGUAGGGCGCAAGCGUUAUCCGGAAUUAUUGGGCGUAAAGAGCUCGUAGGCGGUUUGUCGCGUCUGCUGUGAAAUCCGGAGGCUCAACCUCCGGCCUGCAGUGGGUACGGGCAGACUAGAGUGCGGUAGGGGAGAUUGGAAUUCCUGGUGUAGCGGUGGAAUGCGCAGAUAUCAGGAGGAACACCGAUGGCGAAGGCAGAUCUCUGGGCCGUAACUGACGCUGAGGAGCGAAAGGGUGGGGAGCAAACAGGCUUAGAUACCCUGGUAGUCCACCCCGUAAACGUUGGGAACUAGUUGUGGGGUCCAUUCCACGGAUU
rnacentral:rRNA from 1 species